GACCCGAUGGCGUAGCUGGUAGCGCAUCGCAGGACCAUAUAUUUGUAGUACGACUUCGACUGCAAUGAUCCCUGUUCGAUUCGGGGUCGGGUUA